GUUGGCAAAGCCUGCACUCUCUUUCCCAAUGAACUCCACCGCUUCAUGACCUACAAGGUAAAUGGAUCCUGCCCGGAUGAUGAGUUUCUAGCACAAAAGCUGCUCCUCAAAGGCUGUGAGCCUCUCCCUCGCCGCCGUUGCCGGCCAGCUGCGCAGCCAGAUUAUGAAGAACCCUAUCCUCUGCCUACCAGCCUAUGGACCACGCCCCCAAAUUCAUCAGUCGUGUGGACUGCCUACACCUGCAAAGAUUACUCAUGUCUCAUCAACCGG
rnacentral:misc_RNA from 1 species